GACGAACGCUGGCGGCGUGCUUAACACAUGCAAGUCGAACGGUGAAGCGCCUUCCUUUUUGGUGGGUGUGGAUGAGUGGCGAACGGGUGAGUAACACGUGAGUAACCUGCCCCCUUCUUCUGGAUAACCGCAUGAAAGUGUGGCUAAUACGGGAUAUUCUGGGUCUGUCGCAUGAUGGGUCUGGGAAAGAUAUUGUUUCGGUGGGGGAUGGGCUCGCGGCCUAUCAGCUUGUUGGUGGGGUGAUGGCCUACCAAGGCGGUGACGGGUAGCCGGCCUGAGAGGGUGGACGGUCACACUGGGACUGAGACACGGCGCAGACUCAUACGGGAGGCAGCAGUGGGGAAUAUUGCACAAUGGGCGCAAGCCUGAUGCAGCGACGCCGCGUGAGGGAUGGAGGCCUUCGGGUUGUGAACCUCUUUCGCCAGUGAAGCAGGCCUGCCUCGUUUGUGGGUGGGUUGACGGUAGCUGGAUAAGAAGCGCCGGCUAACUACGUG
rnacentral:rRNA from 1 species